GGGCGUAAGCGCGCGUAGGCGGUUUGUUAAGUCGGAUGUGAAAUCCCUGGGCUCAACCUAGGAAUUGCAUUCGAUACUGGCUUACUAGAGUAUGGUAGAGGGAAGUGGAAUUCCAGGUGUAGCGGUGGAAUGCGCAGAUAUCAGGAGGAACACCAAUGGCGAAGGCAGAUCUCUGGGCCGUAACUGACGCUGAGGAGCGAAAGCGUGGGGAGCGAACAGGAUUAGAUACCCUGGUAGUCCACGCCGUAAACGGUGGGAACUAGUUGUAGGGGCCAUUCCACGGCUUCUGUGACGAAGCUAACGCAUUAAGUUCCCCGCCUGGGGAGUACGGCCGCAAGGCUAAAACUCAAAGGAAUUGACGGGGGCCCGCACAAGCGGCGGAGCAUGCGGAUUAAUUCGAUGCAACGCGAAGAACCUUACCAAGGCUUGACAUAUACAGGAAACGUGCAGAAAUGUACGCCCCGCAAGGUCUGUAUACAGGUGGUGCAUGGUUGUCGUCAGCUCGUGUCGUGAGAUGUUGGGUUAAGUCCCGCAACGAGCGCAACCCUCGUCCUAUGUUGCCAGCACGUAAUGGUGGGAACUCAUGGGAGACUGCCGGGGUCAACUCGGAGGAAGGUAAU
rnacentral:rRNA from 1 species